rnacentral:rRNA from 1 species
AACAAGGUUUGCGUAGGUGAACCUGCGGAAGGAUCAUUGUCGUUUGCUCGGAAAAACGCGACCCUGUGCACGUAACCUAAUCCAUCGCUGCCGGGGCGGCGACGUCCCGGCCCACCGGCCGCGGUCCCCUCGGGGGCCGCGAGCCGGGAAUACGGCGCGGUCCGCGCCAAGGAACACGAGACGCUGAGGCGGCAGGCGGAGCGCUCCGCGCGCCGUCCGUCGCCGACGCAAAGGAAAACAUUAUGACUCUCGGCAACGGAUAUCUCGGCUCUCGCAUCGAUGAAGAACGUAGCGAAAUGCGAUACGUGGUGUGAAUUGCAGAAUCCCGCGAACCAUCGAGUCUUUGAACGCAAGUUGCGCCCGAGGGAUCCGCCCGAGGGCACGCCUGCCUGGGCGUUAGAAGCCAUCCACGCUCGGUGCUAGCUCAGCUCCGAUGCGGACCGUGGCCCUCCGAGCCGAGACGGCGCGGUGGGCCUAAGUGCGCGGCCGCCGGGAGGAGCCGGGAGCGGCGAGUGGUGGAACGCUGCGUCCGCCGCCCCGCGCUCCCUGCCGGCACGUGGCCUUGACCGACCCUCGGACGAGCGGUCGCGCCUUCGCGGCGCGGCGCCUUCGGACCGAUACCCCAGGUCAGGCGGGGCUACCCGCCCCAAAGAAAAACCCCA